GACGAACGCUGGCGGCGUGCUUAACACAUGCAAGUCGAACGGAAAGGCCCUUCGGGGUACUCGAGUGGCGAACGGGUGAGUAACACGUGGGUGAUCUGCCCUGCACUUUGGGAUAAGCCUGGGAAACUGGGUCUAAUACCGGAUAGGACCACGCGCUUCAUGGUGUGUGGUGGAAAGCUUUUGCGGUGUGGGAUGGGCCCGCGGCCUAUCAGCUUGUUGGUGGGGUAAUGGCCUACCAAGGCGACGACGGGUAGCCGGCCUGAGAGGGUGACCGGCCAAACUGGGACUGAGAUACGGCCCAGACUCCUACGGGAGGCAGCAGUGGGGGAUAUUGCACAAUGGGCGCAAGCCUGAUGCAGCGACGCCGCGUGAGGGAUGACGGCCUUCGGGUUGUAAACCUCUUUCGCCAGGGACGAAGCGCAAGUGACGGUACCUGGAGAAGAAGGACCGGCCAACUACGUGCCAGCAGCCGCAGUAAAAC
rnacentral:rRNA from 1 species